CAUCUCAGGGCCUCCCCUGGACUUGGCCUUCCUAGAAUCAUGAGUGAAGGAUGCAGCGGGGAAGGGCUUGGGCACGGCGUCGAGUCUCCUGAUCUGUAACACCUGCUGACCCGUCAGCUUCAUUUACUGUUCAGCUACGCUGGCCACUUUCCAACCGCUAGGUAGACGCAGAAGUUAAUGGCUCCUGGUGGAUCCAUAAAUAGCUAUGGUCUGAUAUUAGAGAAUAAGACACAGGCAGACUCAUAGAUGGCUGGCAUCCUUUCUUCCCCUUCACUAGUCUGCACUCCUGACGUUCCAUCUGCGGCUUGGGGAGAAGACGGGUGAUGGUGUCUCAUCCCAUAAAAAGAGGCCUGCUAAUCCCAGUAGAACAACCCAAGGCACCGCACUUUAAAAAGCAACGACCCAAUUUUGAUGUUUUGGAAAAGAAGAAAGCCAAGUUGCCCUUAUUUAGAAGUUAGGAGCAGCUGUCACAAAACAGUUUCAUGCACGCGGCAGGAGAAGAAAUAGGGUUUACAAGAAGAAUCGUCCACUGACCACAGAUGACAUCGUGUUCAGGCAGUGGUGGCAGUUCCUCAAGGACCAAAUGUCCCAGCCAGAUUGGUUGGCCUUGUUCCUGAUGAUCAAGGUAACACAGGUUGGGAGGUGACUUUGUGGCUCAGGUGGGCCAUCCUGAAACAACCACCCGCAUCGUUCCCAGAAUUCCAUAGGCUUCUCUGCAGGUGAGUCACUGCUGGAGCAGAGCUGAGUGCAAAGGUCCAGGCUUUAGGCCUCAGGCCAGACCCGGGCGGCCCCAAGAGACUCCAGCCAUUGGCAGUCAGAGGCAGGAG
rnacentral:lncRNA from 1 species